GACAGAGGUGCCGAGCGUUAGGCGGAAUCACUGGGCUUAAAGCGUGUGUAGGCGGACUGAUAAGUACCUUGUGAAAUCCCACGGCUCAACCGUGGAACUGCUUGGUAUACUGGAUGUCUUGAGCCAUCUAGGGGCUACCGGAACAAAUGGUGGAGCGGUGAAAUGCGUAGAUAUCAUUUGGAACGCCAAUGGUGAAAACAGGUAGCUGGGGAUGUGCUGACGCUGAGACACGAAAGCCAGGGGAGCGAACGGG
rnacentral:rRNA from 1 species